UACAGGACAGCAGGCAGGAUCAGAGUCAGGUCAGGUAGAGGUCGGUAAUCCAGAGUAGAGGCCAAGGUACAGGACAGCAGGCAGGAUCAGAGUCAGGUCAGGUAGAGGUCGGUAAUCCAGAGUAGAGGCCAAGGUACAGGACAGCAGGCAGGAUCAGAGUCAGGUCAGGUAGAGGUCGGUAAUCCAGAGUAGAGGCCAAGGUACAGGACAGCAGGCAGGAUCAGAGUCAGGUCAGGUAGAGGUCGGUAAUCCAGAGUAGAGGCCAAGGUACAGGACAGCAGGCAGGAUCAGAGUCAGGUCAGGUAGAGGUCGGUAAUCCAGAGUAGAGGCCAAGGUACAGGACAGCAGGCAGGAUCAGAGUCAGGUCAGGUAGAGGUCGGUAAUCCAGAGUAGAGGCCAAGGUACAGGACAGCAGGCAGGAUCAGAGUCAGGUCAGGUAGAGGUCGGUAAUCCAGAGUAGAGGCCAAGGUACAGGACAGCAGGCAGGAUCAGAGUCAGGUCAGGUAGAGGUCGGUAAUCCAGAGUAGAGGCCAAGGUACAGGACAGCAGGCAGGAUCAGAGUCAGGUCAGGUAGAGGUCGGUAAUCCAGAGUAGAGGCCAAGGUACAGGACAGCAGGCAGGAUCAGAGUCAGGUCAGGUAGAGGUCGGUAAUCCAGAGUAGAGGCCAAGGUACAGGACAGCAGGCAGGAUCAGAGUCAGGUCAGGUAGAGGUCGGUAAUCCAGAGUAGAGGCCAAGGUACAGGACAGCAGGCAGGAUCAGAGUCAGGUCAGGUAGAGGUCGGUAGUCCAGAGUAGAGGCCAAGGUACAGGACAGCAGGCAGGAUCAGAGUCAGGUCAGGUAGAGGUCGGUAAUCCAGAGUAGAGGCCAAGGUACAGGACAGCAGGCAGGAUCAGAGUCAGGUCAGGUAGAGGUCGGUAAUCCAGAGUAGAGGCCAAGGUACAGGACAGCAGGCAGGAUCAGAGUCAGGUCAGGUAGAGGUCGGUAAUCCAGAGUAGAGGCCAAGGUACAGGACAGCAGGCAGGAUCAGAGUCAGGUCAGGUAGAGGUCGGUAAUCCAGAGUAGAGGCCAAGGUACAGGACAGCAGGCAGGAUCAGAGUCAGGUCAGGUAGAGGUCGGUAAUCCAGAGUAGAGGCCAAGGUACAGGACAGCAGGCAGGAUCAGAGUCAGGUCAGGUAGAGGUCGGUAAUCCAGAGUAGAGGCCAAGGUACAGGACAGCAGGCAGGAUCAGAGUCAGGUCAGGUAGAGGUCGGUAAUCCAGAGUAGAGGCCAAGGUACAGGACAGCAGGCAGGAUCAGAGUCAGGUCAGGUAGAGGUCGGUAAUCCAGAGUAGAGGCCAAGGUACAGGACAGCAGGCAGGAUCAGAGUCAGGUCAGGUAGAGGUCGGUAAUCCAGAGUAGAGGCCAAGGUACAGGACAGCAGGCAGGAUCAGAGUCAGGUCAGGUAGAGGUCGGUAAUCCAGAGUAGAGGCCAAGGUACAGGACAGCAGGCAGGAUCAGAGUCAGGUCAGGUAGAGGUCGGUAAUCCAGAGUAGAGGCCAAGGUACAGGACGGCAGGCAGGAUCAGAGUCAGGUCAGGUAGAGGUCGGUAAUCCAGAGGUGAGACAAAAGUACAGGACGGCAGGC